GCGCUCACUAUGGCAGCACGUGUACUACAAAUGGGAAUGGUGCAGAGAUGAACAUGGCCCCUACGCAAGGAUGACAUGCAGAUUCGCGAAGUGUUCCAUAUUUAA